rnacentral:rRNA from 1 species
GAAGCGGUGUGAAAAACUCUGGUGGUAUACGAUGGUUCCGCGUCUGAUUAGCUAGUUGGUGGGGUAAUGGCCUACCAAGGCAACGAUCAGUAGCCGGCCUGAGAGGGUGAACGGCCACAUUGGGACUGAGACACGGCCCAAACUCCUACGGAAGGCAGCAG